UAACCGCCAUGUCAGGGGAGAGCGCGAACGCAGUCCCCCACUACCACAAAUUAUGCAGUCGAGUUUCCCGCAUUUGGGGAAAUCGCAGGGGUCAGCACACCCGGAGUGCAAGGGAUGAGCCUCGCCCUGGGAAAACCACCUGCCUGAUCAUGGUGUCUCCCCUGCCAGGUAAGUAUGACUCCGUCUCCCCGGCCCCGCCGCGCCCGCCCCGCGCACCCACCCCGACCACACGCUCACCGACCCCCCGGCCCCGCCCCCGCGCGGCCCCGCGCUCCCCACCGUCCCGCACGGCCCCGCCCGCACAGCAGCGCCCGCGGACGCGCGUGGCCGCGGGGUCUGUGUGCGGGACGUGUCCCGGCGUCCCCCGCGAGCGCUGAAUGAUUUGCAUGGACACGCCCCCAUCCCCGAGGCCCCGCCCCGGGCCCCGCGCGCAGGGCAGCGCCCCCUGGCGGAUCCUCCCGACUGGAUUGGGAUCCGUUGGAUCCCUGGGAACGGAGGGAAGCGGGGGCUGUUUGGUUAACGGGCCUUUGGUUGGGCAGCUCGUGCCGGGGCUUAGAAGGAAACUCGGGAAGAGAGAAGGAGCACCGGGGGCGGUUGUUUCCCCAGGGAUGUCUGUAACCACAGGGAAGAGGGAGAAGGGAAGGAAGAGAGCCGGGUGAAAUUCCCAAAUCCCUUGUCAGCCGCCCCAACUGACGUGCAGGGACAUGGAGGAGGCAGAGGGCCGAGUGUCCUUCGCCAUUGCUUGGGCAGCAUUUGCUGGGCAAGUUAAAUGCACAGUUGACUUUUCCUCAGGACUCUGUCCAGCUGCAUAUUCCUCUGGAAAACGCAUGGAAAGCACAGCUCUGCCCACUCCCCGAGGGAAACCUGCAGACAAGGGAAUCUCCAGUGAAGUUUUAGGUGCAGUUGUACCAUUGGUUUGGGCUCUGGGAACCCCGGGAUGAGCGAGAAGCCCGAGUCUGGUAAAAACUGAACUGAAACCAGGAGUCCAACCAGUAAGAAAAGACCAACACCCCAGAAAAUGAGGGGUCUGGAAAGGACUGGAACCGUUAAUAGAGUCAUUUUUAGAGUUUGGGUUGCUGCCAAUGAGAAUGUAACACUCCAGUCCUGCCAGUGAAAAAGCCUCAAUCAUCAGGAUAUAGAGCAGUGCAGGAGUGAAGGGAAGGUAAUGCCUGGACACCUGAUGUUCAUUCAGUUGUCCCAAAUCCCGACACCCUUCUCACCUCAAUCCCAGAGACCAAUAUGGACUUUGCAGUGUUGGAUGUGAAAGACGCCUUCUCUUGUGUCCCUGUGGGUGAACAGAGUCACCUUGUCUGUGCCUUUGAAUGGGAAAAGCCAACUCACAGCAGGGAAAUGAUAUCAAGCCCCUCAAGAUUUUAAUCUAACUUUGCAAUUUUUUUUCAGUUGUUCAUCAGUAGCUGCAGCUGGACAGCUGUGAUCAACAAAUUCCAUUGUGAACGUCCUGCACUCGGCUGAUCUUUUGUUUCAAGGAAAACAGGAGACAGCCCCAAGAGCAGUGGGCUGUCUGGACAGGAGCCUCCAGGAGUGUUGUCAGCAGGGCUGAGCAGUACGUGGGGAAAGGUAAUUCCAGCAGUGGGAGAUGGUGACCAGUGACCCACUGACCACCUGCUCAGAAUGGCCCCCGACUGAAAGAGAGGGAAGAGCUGCCCCUGCAGAGGGAGAGAUGAGCGUGGGAAGGGAGGGACACCCAGCACAGAGAGGUUCCAGUGCUAAUUGAUAACCACUUGUGUAACCUGUAA